AGGCUAAAAAAGGAGAUGGGGUAAGACGCGAUAUAAAGGCAAUUUUGAGUCAGCUGCUGUCCAUCCAAAGUAUAAAGAACACUGUGCAAGCCAAUGGCAACGAACUCCACCUGCGCUUUGCUGCUGAUGGAAGAUGCACCAGCAAUAAAAUUGGCACUGUUAUGGCUGUGUUUAAUAUUCUCAAUGAACAAGGGCAUGACUAUGACCACCAGUACCCCAUCGCUCUGUAUAAUGGAAAGGAGGAUUAUUUAGAGGUGAAAAAUUGUCUUGGGCCUGUGUUUGCACAAGUUGAUGACCUUCAACAAAAUGGUAUUGAGGUGGACGGAAUACACUACAAAGUGAUAUGGUACUGCUGCUCAGACUGGAAAUUU